GUGCCAGCAGCCGCGGGAAUACGUAGGUGGCAAGCGUUGUCCGGAUUUAUUGGGCGUAAAGCGAGCGCAGGCGGUUUUUUAAGUCUGAUGUGAAAGCCUUCGGCUCAACCGAAGAAGUGCAUCGGAGACUGGGAAACUUGAGUGCAGAAGAGGACAGUGGAACUCCAUGUGUAGCGGUGAAAUGCGUAGAUAUAUGGAAGAACACCAGUGGCGAAGGCGGCUGUCUGGUCUGUAACUGACGCUGAGGCUCGAAAGUAUGGGUAGCAAACAGGAUUAGAUACCCUGGUAGUCCAUACCGUAAACGAUGAAUGCUAAGUGUUGGAGGGUUUCCGCCCUUCAGUGCUGCAGCUAACGCAUUAAGCAUUCCGCCUGGGGAGUACGGCCGCAAGGCUGAAACUCAAAGGAAUUGACGGGGGCCCGCACAAGCGGUGGAGCAUGUGGUUUAAUUCGAAGCUACGCGAAGAACCUUACCAGGUCUUGACAUACUAUGCAAAUCUAAGAGAUUAGACGUUCCCUUCGGGGACAUGGAUACAGGUGGUGCAUGGUUGUCGUCAGCUCGUGUCGUGAGAUGUUGGGUUAAGUCCCGCAACGAGCGCAACCCUUAUUAUCAGUUGCCAGCAUUAAGUUGGGCACUCUGGUGAGACUGCCGGUGACAAACCGGAGGAAGGUGGGGAUGACGUCAAAUCAUCAUGCCCCUUAUGACCUGGGCUACACACGUGCUACAAUGGAUGGUACAACGAGUUGCGAACUCGCGAGAGUAAGCUAAUCUCUUAAAGCCAUUCUCAGCUCGGAUUGUAGGCUGCAACUCGCCUACAUGAAGUCGGAAUCGCUAGUAAUCGCGGAUCAGCAUGCCGCGGUGAAUACGUUCCCGGGCCUUGUACACACCGCCCGU
rnacentral:rRNA from 1 species